GCACAGUGGGAAGAAACAGGCUGUGGAGGCUUCCCAGGGUUGGGUUUCUGACAAAACUAUUCCUGGAACAUGACACAGGAGCAGGUCGACCAGAUGCAUUGGAGGCCUUUCCUGCCAGAGCACACUGUCAUCAUGUGAUCAUAAACUUCUUAAAAGAUUGUUAUGUUUGGGACAGCAAAGGACAGAAGAGUCGAGAUGGAAAGAGGGAGAAGGGAAUAUACAAGAUAGAGAACAGCUUCAAAGCAAGGAGCAUACCCAGGUGGAGGGAGGAAUUUGAAUUCUCCAUGGCGGCCUCCAAGUAGGAAACGUACCCUAUUAAGAACAGAAACAAUAUAUGCAAUCACAACCCAAAAGAGAAGCUGACAACUGGAAAGAAGAGCCCAUCUAUGUUGAAAUUCUCAAACAUUCCUUGAACUGGCUGACCAUUAAUCCGGAAUGAGAUGCUUGGGGCACUCAGAUCUAAGCAGCAGCUGACCACAUCAUC